rnacentral:rRNA from 1 species
GAUCUUGGUUCAGAACGAACGCUGGUAGCGUGGAUUAGGCAUGCAAGUCGAACGGGAUCAGGAAGGCAGCAAUGUCGGCCUGUGAGAGUGGCGGAAGGGCGAGGAACACGUGAGCAACCUGUCCUUGAGGUGGGGAAAACUCCGGGAAACUGGGGCUAAUACCGAAUGUGGCGCCCGGAGACAUCUCCGGAGCGCUAAAGGGGGCCGAAAGGCUCUCCCUCUUCGAGGGGCUCGCGCACCAUCAGCUUGUUGGCGGGGUAACGGCCCACCAAGGCUUACGGUUAGCUGGUCUGAGAGGAUGGCCAGCCGCACUGGGACUGAGAUACUGCCCAGACUCCUACGGGAGGCUGCAGUCGAGGACCAUUCGCAAUGGGGGAAACCCUGACGAUGCGACGCUGCGUGGAGGAUGAAGGCCUUCGGGUCGUAAACUCCUGUCAUGACGGAAAAGGAGAGGGGUGCCAACACCACCCUUAUUUGAUGGUACGUCAAGAGGAAGAGACGGCUAACUCUGUGCCAGCAGCGGC